AAUAAACCAAUUUUUAACUUUUUAUCUAGAAUGUUUGACUCUUUGUCUUAUUUAAAAAAGUUUUGUGAUUAAUAUUUUUGUUUUUAUUAGAUGAUAAAUUAUGAAUAGUACUCUACAUGUGACUAUUUUUUUUAAUUCCUUAAAAAAAUUCAAAUAAAAUGAUGGUUAAACGCUAGGCACGAAAACCAAAAGUUUGGUUUAUU
rnacentral:pre_miRNA from 1 species